UCUACCUCUUACUAAGGGAUAGCCCAGAGAAAUUUGGAUUAAUAUCUUAUAGUAUGUUAACUUGGCAUCAAGAUAACAUUAAAGGUUACGGUAAGAGAUGACUAUGCGUCCUAUUAGCUAGAUGGUGUGGUAACGGCACACCAUGGCAACGAUAGGUAGGGGCCCUGAGAGGGGGAUCCCCCACACUGGUACUGAGACACGGACCAGACUCCUACGGGAGGCAGCAGUGAGGAAUAUUGGACAAUGGAGGCAACUCUGAUCCAGCCAUGCCGCGUGCAGGAAGACUGCCCUAUGGGUUGUAAACUGCUUUUAUACAGGAAGAAACACUCUCACGUGUGAGAGCUUGACGGUACUGUAAGAAUAAGGAUCGGCUAACUCCGUGCCAGCAGCCGCGGUAAUACGGAGGAUCCAAGCGUUAUCCGGAAUCAUUGGGUUUAAAGGGUCCGUAGGUGGAUAAUUAAGUCAGAGGUGAAAUCCUGCAGCUCAACUGUAGAAUUGCCUUUGAUACUGGUUGUCUUGAGUUAUUAUGAAGUAGUUAGAAUAUGUAGUGUAGCGGUGAAAUGCAUAGAUAUUACAUAGAAUACCAAUUGCGAAGGCAGAUUACUAAUAAUAUACUGACACUGAUGGACGAAAGCGUGGGGAGCGAACAGGAUUAGAUACCCUGGUAGUCCACGCCGUAAACGAUGGUCACUAGCUGUUCGAACUUCGGUUUGAGUGGCUAAGCGAAAGUGAUAAGUGACCCACCUGGGGAGUACGUUCGCAAGAAUGAAACUCAAAGGAAUUGACGGGGGCCCGCACAAGCGGUGGAGCAUGUGGUUUAAUUCGAUGAUACGCGAGGAACCUUACCAGGGCUUAAAUGUAAAUUGACAGGUUUAGAAAUAGACUUUUCUUCGGACAAUUUACAAGGUGCUGCAUGGUUGUCGUCAGCUCGUGCCGUGAGGUGUCAGGUUAAGUCCUAUAACGAGCGCAACCCCUGUUGUUAGUUGCCAGCGAGUCAUGUCGGGAACUCUAACAAGACUGCCAGUGCAAACUGUGAGGAAGGUGGGGAUGACGUCAAAUCAUCACGGCCCUUACGUCCUGGGCUACACACGUGCUACAAUGGUAGGGACAGAGAGCAGCCACUGGGUGACCAGGAGCGAAUCUAUAAACCCUAUCACAGUUCGGAUCGGAGUCUGCAACUCGACUCCGUGAAGCUGGAAU
rnacentral:rRNA from 1 species